rnacentral:sRNA from 1 species
CCUCAUUUAUCAGCUGAGGGCAUAUGAAGUGAACAUGGCAAUCUAUACCCCCAGCAGUUACAAUCAUGCCUUGAGCAGCAAUAACUUCUGUAUUCACCUGCAAAUCAUUUCAAGAAUGAAAAAUAUUUAAAAUGUACACCUCUUCUUUAUUAAAUCAAUCUAGAAGGUGCAGGUAUGUUGUUACCCCAACAAUCAUGUUGCUGUGCACACCAUCCAUGACAUCAGGGUUUCCAGCUUUCCCAAUGGCAAUAAUAAGUCCAUCUUUUAUACCAAUAUCAGCCUUGUAUAUUCCUGUAUAGUCAAUCACAACAGCAUUUGUUAUAACUGUAUCCAGGGAGGCAGAUGCUGGAUACCCUGCGGAUUGUCCCAUUCCAUCACGCAG